rnacentral:rRNA from 1 species
CCCUUAGAUGUCCUGGGCCGCACGCGUGCUACACUGACGCCUACAGCGAGUACUUCCCAGCCCCGAGAGGUGGCUGGUAAUCAGCAAUAGGCGUCGUGAUGGGGAUAGAUCUUUGGAAUUAUGGAUCUUGAAUGAGGAAUGCCUAGUAAGCGCAGGUCAUUAGCCUGCGCUGAUUAAGUCCCUGCCCUUUGUACACACCGCCCGUCGCUCCUACCGAUUUCGAGUGGUCCGGUGAAUCUUUCGGACUGCGCGCGGCCUCGUGCCGUGUCGCGGAAAGUCAGGUAAACCUUAUCACUUAGAGGAAGGAGAAGUCGUAACA